rnacentral:misc_RNA from 1 species
AGGCUCGACGAUCGUUAACGCGUAGCUUUACGGCCAUUGUGUAAAAAGAAUCCACGACGCUCGGAUAGUGCACGCCGAGGACCGGACCAGCCGGACGCGUAGUUUUUCCUUUAAGAAUUUUCCUCUUGUGAUAUUUAGACUGUGCCAAGGUAGAAACGAGGGAACGAAUAAAAGAUGGAGGACGACCAGCAGUUCUGCCUAAGGUGGAACAAUCAUCAGAGCACGCUCAUACAAAACUUCGACACACUCCUAGAGAGCGGCACGUUGGUCGACUGCACCCUGGCAGCGGAGGGGAAGUAUCUAAAGGCCCACAAAGUGGUCCUCUCCGCGUGCAGUCCGUACUUUGAGGGCCUCCUCAGCGAACACUAUGACAAGCACCCUGUCUUUAUAUUAAAGGACGUUAAGUUUAAAGAACUGAAAGCCAUGAUGGACUACAUGUACAGGGGAGAAGUAAAUAUCUCCCAAGACCAAUUGGCAGCACUCCUAAAAGCCGCCGAGUCAUUGCAAAUAAAAGGUCUCUCGGAGAGUAAAACGGGCGGCAAUAACGGCAGCAAAACAGACUCAUCGAGGCAACAACAAAAAGUCGUAACACAGCCUACGGCACCGUCGUUGGACAUUCCACACGCGUCUUCCGGUCUCACAAUAGAAAAGAACAAUAAAGUUCCUAGGCAGAGUAUGGCACAGAGCUCCGUUGGUGACUUACCUGAAGACUCUGCAAGUCCCCAACAACUACCCAAGGGGCUCUCCUCCAGGGAAGGCUCGCAAAGUCCGACUUCAAGGAAAAGAAAAAGGUUCAGAAGAAGAAGCGUCGGCGAUGACAAUUCAAUCGAAAAUCAUGAUGCGUCGAAUUCGAGUGAUAUGCCACAACAAACGAGCAGCGUACCUUUAUUCGGUAUUACUCCAAUUGCUGAUGAAAAGACUCAUACCGAUCAGGCCGACCCUCUCGGCAGAUCGGCGCUUAUGCAACAGCUGACCAAACCCGCCGAAGAAACGUUACAAUUACCACUCGAAAAACCUGAGCCUACCGAAAGCUUGAUCGAGCCAAAGUCCGAGUACCUGGAGGAUAAAGAGGAGAGCGUCGAAGACUUGACGUUCGAUGAUGACAUGAACGACCUCAACGAAAUGGAACAAGACAACAACAGAGCCGGCCCGUCCCACGAUCCCUCUCAGCAUCCCGGUCUCGCAGCGUGGCACGUUACCGGAGACCGAAGUAACGCUGGCGGCGUUGGGUCGGUCGCUGGCGCUCCGGGAGCCACGGAUGAGGUGUUUCUUGCUGCCCAGGAGGCCGCUCAGGCCCAUCGCGACUCUCAAGAUCGCGUUGGCCGAUCGGUGAUCAAGUACGAAGACGAAAUUGAGCUUUCCUCGGAGCUAAUUAACAGGAACUACUGUGAGGCAUACCUGGGAAAUGUUUCUUACGGAACGAACCCAAAAGUGAAUGUUGAAGGAAAGUUUUCCAGGGCAAUGGAAACCCAAAGUGUAACGAUUUUUGAGAAACAACAUUCGGAACGGCAUUAUUGCCUCCGGUGCCCGAAAAGUUACGCCAAUGCUUGGGGUUUAAAACGACACGUGGAUUUCGAGUGUGAUCGACAACCUCAGUUCAAGUGUCCUCACUGUGGAAUAAGGAUGAAACAACGCGGUCACAUUUAUCGACACAUAAGACGACGUCAUCGUGGAAAACAUGUUUAUUCGAUAGAUCCUCAGUAGAAACAGUCAGAAAGCUUCGCGUCGUGACGGAUUGCAACAUUUAUUCGUUAAAACGACAAAAAAACAAAUGUCGCCAUAUACCGAAGCAUACUGAAUUCAGUAUUUUAUUCAUUUCAGUAUUAAAGGACCGUUCGGAAAGAUGCGAAAUAUUAUGACGAUUAUUCUUCGCCGAUUUCUAUCCAGAUGUCCCCUCGAGAAUGAUGACGUCGAAGAAUCUUCUGAGGAAUUAUCCUGUACUGCCAUUUAUCAAGGAUCUCGCUACGAUAUGGAUGGUUAAGCAGCGCACACAAUUUCCAUAUCGUUGCGAGCAGUGCGGAAAGGGA